CCUACGGGUGGCAGCAGUAGGGAAUAUUGCUCAAUGGGGGAAACCCUGAAGCAGCAACGCCGCGUGGAGGAUGAAGGUUUUCGGUUUGUAAACUCCUUUUGGUAGAGAAGAUAAUGACGGUAUCUGACGAAUAAGCACCGGCUAACUCCGUGCCAGCAGCCGCGGUAAUACGGAGGGUGCAAGCGUUACUCGGAUUCACUGGGCGUAAAGAGCGCGUAGGCGGGGUAGCAAGUCAGGUGUGAAAUCCUAUGGCUUAACCAUAGAACUGCAUUUGAAACUGUUAUGCUAGAGUAUGGGAGAGGUAGGUGGAAUUCUUGGUGUAGGGGUGAAAUCCGUAGAGAUCAAGAGGAAUACUGAUUGCGAAGGCGGCCUGCUAGAACGUAACUGACGCUGAUGCGCGAAAGCGUGGGGAGCAAACAGGAUUAGAUACCCUUGUAGUC
rnacentral:rRNA from 1 species